UACAGAGGUCCCAAGCGUUGUUCGGAUUCACUGGGCGUAAAGGGUGCGUAGGUGGUUGCGCAAGUCUGAUGUGAAAUCUCCGGGCUCAACCCGGAAAUGGCAUUGGAAACUGCGUAGCUAGAGGGUUGGAGGGGGGACUGGAAUACUUGGUGUAGCAGUGAAAUGCGUAGAUAUCAAGUGGAACACCAGUGGCGAAGGCGAGUCCCUGGACAACACCUGACACUGAGGCACGAAAGCUAGGGGAGCAAACAGG
rnacentral:rRNA from 1 species